UACGGCCUACGGGAGGCAGCAGUCGAGAAUCAUUCACAAUGGGGGAAACCCUGAUGGUGCGACGCCGCGUGGGGGAAUGAAGGUCUUCGGAUUGUAAACCCCUGUCAUGUGGGAGCAAAUUAAACAGAUAGUACCACAAGAGGAAGAGACGGCUAACUCUGUGCCAGCAGCCGCGGUAAUACAGCGGUCUCCAGCGUUGUUCGGAAUCACUGGGCGUAAAGCGUGCGUAGGCUGU
rnacentral:rRNA from 1 species